GUGGGGAAUCUUCUCUUCUGCGGAAAGAAGAAACUAAAACAUGUCGGGGGGGGUAAUAGACUGUAAGGUAAAGUAAAUUAGAGAAUGAAUUCCUUCCUGUUCUUAACUUGCCCAGCUGAAGUCUAUAUUAAAAUAUUUGUAAAACUUU